CUACAUUUCUCCAAACCUGAUGAAGAAACAAACUCAUCUUCAUCGCAUAUAGCCUGAGGAUGAGUUGCAUCAUCCUCCCGCUGUGCUGCAGUAACAUUACUCAUCGUGUGACAUGCAUGUGUUGAGUCUGGUCAUCUGAACAGAUUGCCUGGGAAACACAACAGUGUCUGCGCCAGCUGCUCUGUUCAGGGAUAACAGAGUGUCAUGAGAUGCUUUGGCCAUGCAGGACGGUAAACGGAAAAAAUACCUUCUCAUUGGUUUGGCAAAAACUCAAAGAAUCUCACUUGUGGAGGCGUUGUGGAAAAGUAAGGACACUGAGUGUGAAAGCUUGCUGCCAAAAAACUUUCUUACUAGAUGUUGGUCAGACUUGUCUCGCUCGGUUCGCUGCCAGUGCUUUUGUUUUUCCAGAGCUCCAUCUCUCCAACAGGAGGGUCAUCGUCUGGUCAGGUCCAAAUGAGAAAUAGUUGGUCUCGUUCCUCUGGCGGCGGCUCAAAUCCAGUCUUUUACUGUUUCUCCCGCAGCGAGAGCCUCCUGUGAACGGUGACUGAUCUAGAGAGGACAUCACGGCAGUUCUCUGAGUGAACAAUGAAGAUCAAUAAGUCCGUCUGAGCAUCGCCUGAUCUUCUCACACAGACUUUUGAAGCUUCAGUGACAGGUUUGUUACGCUUCACGGCAGGUAAUGUAAGAAUACUGUCAAAUCAUUUCUAUUACUGUGAUUUUAAGCACUUUUUUUGAAGCCUUGAAGUCUCAUUUAAUUGCAGUCAGAAUGGAGAUAAUAUAUUAAUGUGGAUGUGAUCAAUGACUUACACUCAAAUCACAGCCUGUGUUGGAUAAAAUCUCACAAAAUGAAUUUGUAAGAAAUAACUUUUGUUAGGUUUUUUUUUUUUUUUUUUUCGGUUUCUGUGCAUCUCAUGUUUAAUCCAAAAUGCUGUCCUCAAGGUUUCCCAAUUGAGACCUCUGCUGGGGGCAUGAGACAUUGUGUUUGCAAACUAGCUGUUAAAAUGUACAGUAUGGGCCUAAAAUAGAAAUGAUUGUUAAACAAACAAUAUAAUUUUUUCAUCAACUAUAAAUACUUUUACCAAAAACCUCUAGUACAUGAUUGAUUAAAUCAUUAAGAAAUAUAUUUUUCAAUAUAAUUUACUUUGUGAGUGAUGAUACAUUGACCAUCCCAAGAUUGAGGACAUGUCUACCUAUAAAUAUUUCUAGCUCGUAAUAAAUCACACUUUAAAGCAGAUAAUAAGUCACACCCUGCAGUCAGUGAGAUAUUAACCUUCCAGUGUAGAAACAGAAACUCAACUGUUCACAUAAUCCAUACUGUUGCUUUGAUAUGCAUGAGAUAUCUACAAAUGACUCAGAAUUACAAAAGAAUGGUGAGUCAGAUAUAGAUUUUAUGUAGCCUUAUCCUUUUUGUAAAGCGCCGUGAUUUUAAUUAAAAACUUAAUUGAAUAAAUGCACAAACUCAUUUGUUUUUAAUCUCUAUUAAUUCAAUCUUCCGCUUCUUUCUCUUACUUCGUCAUGGACGAAGUGCAUUUACUGACUUUUUUCCACACAGCUGGUAAAGUCUGGAUUAAUGAUAAUUUGAUUAGCUUGGUUCAGAUGUCUUGUUUAGCUCCACCUUUCACCUACAUCUUUCCAAAAAGACAUGAUUUACAGAUCAUUGUAGAUACAAACAUCCACUACACAACACACUAUAUGUUAAUCAUCUGAUGCAAGAGUGAUUAAAGAUCAGAGGAGAACCUACAGCUGUCCACAGAAAGACCUUCAUGUCGAGACCCUGUUUAGGCAAGUAUGUGAUGAUCGCUGAAAUGGUGGAGAAAGUGAAAAAGACUGAGCCUUGAGGUGCUGUUCCUGCUGGACCCGGAGAUGUGAAGUGUGACGUCUGAACUGGACGGAAAAACAAAGCUAUCAAGUUCUGUUUGGUGUGUCUGAACACUUACUGUCAAACUCAUUUUGAGGAGUUUCAUUCUGAUUAACGAGACAAAGUGAUUGAAGCCACUGGACGACUGAAGCCGAUGAUCUGCCAAAAACACAAUAAGAUUCUAGAGGUUUUCUGUUGCACAGAUAAGAAAUCUAUUUGUGUUCUGUGUACAUUUGGAUGAACACAGACACCAUGAGACUGUAUUAGCUGUAGAAGAACGGACUAAGAUGUCCUCUAUAAUAAAUAAGGGGUAAUGUACAGUUGACUUAUUACAUUUUAACGCCAAUUUACAGGAUUAUUCGACAAAUAAAUGUGACUGGAGCACAAAAACAGCCUUAAAGCUGCGGUA